GUCAAGGCCGUGGAGAGUGUUCAGAGAAGGGCAACAAAGCUGGUGAGAGGUCUGGAGCACAGGCCUUAUGAGGAGCGGCUGAAGGAGCUGGGAUUGUUCAGUCUGGAGAAGAAGAGGCUCAGGGGAGAUGUUAUUGCUCUCUAUAACUACCUGAAGGGAGGCUGUAGUGAGCUGGGGGUUGGCCUCUUCUCUUGUGUAACCAGUGAUAGGACUAGAGGGAAUGGCUUCAAGCUGCGCCAGGGAAGGUUCAGGCUGGACGUUAGGAAAUACUACUUCUCUGAAAGGGUGGUCAGGCACUGGAAUGGGCUGCCCAGAGAGGUAGUGGAGUCACCGAGCCUGGUGGUGUUCAAAGAGCGUUUGGAUGUUGUAUUGAGGAACAUGGUUGAGCGAGAACCACUGGUGAUGGGUGAAUGGUUGGACUGGAUGAUCCUGUGGGUCUUUUCCAACCUUAUCGAUUCUAUGAUUCUAUGAUUCUAUGAUUCUAUCAUUUCAUACUGCUUUCAAAUUUGGUUCCUUCAUAGUUUCUUAUGAAGUCUGGUCAGGUAAGUAUAAGCUCUUUCCACUUCUGAGCUGACCUGGAACCGUAACAGCAGAACUGUGUUUAUAUUUUGACAGUGUUACGUAGUUUUCAAAAAAG
ensembl:lncRNA